rnacentral:rRNA from 1 species
UACAUGAGCGACAAGCAUUAUCCGCAAUUAUUGGGUGUAGAGGAUGCGUAGAUGGUUUAUAAACUUUAGUUCAACUAAAAAAAAUUAUUUUUUAAUUUGCUAAAAAGUAUAAACUUGAGUGUUAUGGGAGUAAAUAUAAUUUAUAAACGAGCGAUAAAAUGCGAAAAAUUUAUAGGUUAUACCGAUGGUGAAAACAAUUUACUACACAUCACUGACAUUGAGGCAUGAAAGUAUGGUUAUCGAUCAGGAUUAGAGACCCUAGUAGUCCAUACCUCAAACAAUGAGUAUUAAACUGUAUAGUUUAAGUUAACGCGUAAAUACUCCACCUGGGUAGUACAAUUACAAUAUUGAAACUUAACUGAAUUGGCGGGAAUUUAAUUUAACGGUGGAACAUGUGGUUUAAUUCGAUAAUCCGCGAAAAACCUUACCAGUACUGCAGUUUUUUUAAGUUUAUUAAAAUGAUAUAAAAAGACGUUAAGUGCUGCAUGGCUGUCGUCAGUUCGUGUUGUGAGAUGUAGGAUUAACUUCCUAAACGGACGCAACUCGAGAUAGAUGUGUUAUACUACGUGCUUUUACAAUGUAAGUAUUUAGUAUUACUUCUAUAUUUUUAAACAAACAAAAGUUUUUUAAAAUGAAGUCCGACUGAAGUCAAGUCCUUAUGGCCUUAUUGUAUUGGGCUACACAUGUGUUACAAAGAUAGAAACAAAUUGUUACAAUACUUUAACGUGGAGUUAAUCAAUAAAAUCUAUCGUAGUUCGGAUUGUUUUCUGAAAGUUGGAAGCAUGAAGUUGAAAUCGUUAGUAAUCGUAAAUUAGUACGUUACGGUGAAUUUAAAGUUAAAUUCUGCACACACCGCCCAUCACGCUCGGAAAAUGGUGAAAAUAGAAUAUAUCAUCACAAAUACUUUAGUAGUACUGAGUUAUUCUUGUGUUUGCUAUAGAAGCUUUUUGUUGUGAUUUGAGUGAAGUUG